rnacentral:rRNA from 1 species
UACGGGGGGAGCAAGCGUUGUUCGGAUUUACUGGGCGUAAAGGGCGCGUAGGCGGUCAGCACAAGUCAGUUGUGAAAUCUCCGGGCUUAACUCGGAAAGGUCAACUGAUACUGUGCGACUAGAGUGCAGAAGGGGCAACUGGAAUUCUCGGUGUAGCGGUGAAAUGCGUAGAUAUCGAGAGGAACACCUGCGGCGAAGGCGGUUCUCUGGGCAUGUCCUGACGCUGAGGAGCGAAAGUGUGGGGAGCGAACAGG